rnacentral:lncRNA from 1 species
CCUCUGUUAGGGACUGUGUGGGGUGUAGCAGAAAGGAUGCAGACUACUGGCUCUCAGAGGAUUGCUACCUGGUGAGAGUGGACACACAAGAGAGCCUGAGAGCUUUAACUGAGAGUUGAAGUUAUUCUGGAGGAGGAAGAAGGUGGUGUGACCAACCCAUGAGGGUUUGCAUCGGGGGACAAAUGUUGAGUGCAGCAUUUGAAUGGCACGCCGUCUUCUCCAGACAGGCAAGAAGAAAGAGGGCUUUGUAGCUAGAGGAAGAGCAUGCGCAAUGGCAAGGGAGACGCAAAGGCUCAGUGUUUGCCCAGAGUGAGCUGCUUUUGGAGUGGUCAUGAAUUAAAAUGGAUAUCCAACUGUUCCAUGAGGCAACGAAUGGGGAUUUUACAUAUUAGAUCAGCAUUGUCUGCUGGAGCUCUCUGCUACCUGGGAAGGCUCUGCAUUUGGGCUGUCAAAGCCACAAGCUCAGACAAUGAAGAUGGCAAACUGAAGGUGAACACUUCUUUCAAGUCAGUCACAAGAGGCUUAUGUGUUGGACUGUGUCUAUGGAUAUCCUAUUGCAGAACAUGGCGUUAGAUUAGUGAGAGCAGGUACAGAUGUUAAAAGAAAUGGGGAGCCUAAAUCAGACUUUUCUUGGAUAAAACAGGGGUGAAGGGAAGCCCCAAGGGACUUUAUAGAGAAGGAAGUUUGAAGAGAAAAGAACAUGGCAAGGUGGACUGGCCAGUUCCUUAACAGAAUUGAUGAAACAAGUGAAUUGCUUUGCGUGCACAGAAGUCCAGGUGGGGUUGUAUGCACAGAUGGGUAACACAUGUGCCCCUUCACUGACAACAGGCUCUGUUGUGAGCACCCUGUCCUGAGCUGGACAUGAACCUACUACUCCUACCCUACGAAAUAUUGAAGCUCUGGGAAACAGCCCUGCAGGGUGUCCCUUAGUUACCCUUGGGAUGCGUGGCUGAAUGGGAGUUAUAGCUUACAUGCUAGCCCAUGAAAACAUCAAUAUUCACAACUCAAAACUGCGAAUAAGAUAGUUGGUUCGGGAGCCAUUUUAAAAGACAAUGGCCUGAGAAGACAAAUUUAGGUUACCCUAAUUCUAUGUUCCAAUGUGGAAGCAGCUUCACAGAAUUUUUAGAAUUUUAUAGAACCAAGCAAGUCAUAGGCCGAGGCAAGUUUAAAAUGCCUUGUUGGGUACACCAGAAAAGUGAGUGCAGAGAAAUGGGGGCUAUUCUAUAGGUCGAAUGUGUUAUCUGAUGACAUUCUUAGCUCUUUUGGCAGAAGCUACUGGUCCUACUAAGUAAAUAGCUUCUUAGAGGUUUUUAUUUAU